rnacentral:snRNA from 9 species
AUACUUACCUGGGCGGGGUGGAUCGAUGAUCAGGAAGGUCGAUGGCCUAGGAAGGCCACCUCCAUUGCACUUGGGAGGGGCUCGCGUUCAUGCGACCUUCACACCAAACCUAAAUCAAACUAUCUACAUUUUACCGGAAAUCAGAGUAUUUACUAUUCCGGU